rnacentral:rRNA from 1 species
AACGAACGCUGGCGGCAGGCUUAACACAUGCAAGUCGAACGCACUCUUCGGAGUGAGUGGCAGACGGGUGAGUAACGCGUGGGAAUCUACCCAUCCCUACGGGAUAGCUCCGGGAAACUGGAAUUAAUACCGUAUACGUCCUUCGGGAGAAAGAUUUAUCGGGGAUGGAUGAGCCCGCGUUGGAUUAGCUAGUUGGUGGGGUAAAGGCCUACCAAGGCGACGAUCCAUAGCUGGUCUAAGAGGAUGAUCAGCCACAUUGGGACUGAGACACGGCCCAAACUCCUACGGGAGGCAGCAGUGGGGAAUAUUGGACAAUGGGCGCAAGCCUGAUCCAGCCAUGCCGCGUGAGUGAUGAAGGCCCUAGGGUUGUAAAGCUCUUUCACCGGUGACGAUAAUGACGGUAACCGGAGAAGAAGCCCCGGCUAACUUCGUGCCAGCAGCCGCCGUAACAC